UGGGGAAUAUUGCGCAAUGGGCGAAAGCCUGACGCAGCGACACCGCGUGCGGGAUGAAGGCCUUCGGGUUGUAAACCGCUUUCGGCAGGGAAGAAGCGAAAGUGACGGUACCUGCAGAAGAAGCUCCGGCUAACUACGUGCCAGCAGCCGCGGUAAGACGUAGGGAGCGAGCGUUGUCCGGAUUCAUUGGGCGUAAAGCGCGCGUAGGCGGCUUUGCAAGUCGGUUGUGAAAACCAGAGGCUCAACCUCUGGCCUGCAUCCGAAACUGCAUCGCUUGAGGUAGGUAGGGGAGAUCGGAAUUCCUGGUGUAGCGGUGGAAUGCGCAGAUAUCAGGAGGAACACCGGUGGCGAAGGCGGAUCUCUGGGCCUUACCUGACGCUGAGGUGCGAAAGCUAGGGGAGCGAACAGGAUUAGGAUACCCUGGUAGUCCUAGCCGUAAACGUUGGACACUAGGUGUGGGCGGCUA
rnacentral:rRNA from 1 species